rnacentral:rRNA from 1 species
UACGGAGGAUGCAAGCGUUAUCCGGAAUGAUUGGGCGUAAAGAGUCCGUAGGUGGUUAUUCAAGUCGAUUGUUAAAGAGCGGGGCUUAACCCCGUAGAAGCAGUGGAAACUGAAUAACUAGAGAGAGGUAGGGGUAGAGGGAAUUCCCGGUGUAGCGGUGAAAUGCGUAGAGAUCGGGAAGAACAUCGGUGGCGAAGGCGCUCUACUGGACCGCAACUGACACUCAGGGACGAAAGCUAGGGGAGCGAAUGGG